UACGUAGGGGGCAAGCGUUAUCCGGAUUUAUUGGGUUUAAAGGGAGCGUAGGUGGAUUGUUAAGUCAGUUGUGAAAGUUUGCGGCUCAACCGUAAAAUUGCAGUUGAAACUGGCAGUCUUGAGUACAGUAGAGGUGGGCGGAAUUCGUGGUGUAGCGGUGAAAUGCUUAGAUAUCACGAAGAACUCCGAUUGCGAAGGCAGCUCACUGGACUGUUGACUGACACUGAGGCUCGAAAGUGUGGGUAUCA
rnacentral:rRNA from 1 species